AUCUCGCAGUUUGUGGGUUUCGAGCCCCACGUCGGGCUCUGUGCUGACGGCUCGGAGCCUGGAGACUGUUUCAGAUUCUGUGUCUCCCUCUCUCUCUCUCUGCUCCUCCCCUGCUUGUGCUCUGUUUCUCUCUUAAAAAUAAAUAAAUUACAAGAAAACAAAACAAAACUACAUUGUUUAAAAAAAAAAAAAACUGGACCCUCCCUGAUUUAGGUUGCAUGCUUAGAUGUCGGCACUGUGAUCGUAAAAUCUGAGGCUCUAAGCAAAAUUUUGGAAAGCCUGUUUCAUGGUUCUCCUUCUUCAGGGUUUUCCACCUUUUCUGCCCUUGUUUUUUUUUUUUUUCCCCCUACCUUCGAAAGAGGGUAAAAUGUGGGAAGCAAGUUUGUGGGAAAGGAGGUCAACAAAAGUUCUGAGCCACAGAUGUGAUGUGUCUCCAUUGGCAUUGGUCCAGGAUGCUCUGGUUUAUUCCUUAGUCCCUGUGUGUGGACACCCCAUGUGUGUAAGUUAUAAAGGGACAACCUGGACCUCUGAUCUCUCCCUGUGUACAUACCCAUAUACACACACAUAUGUGUCCCCAUAUGUAUAUGCACCUACCUACAUACAUACAUACAUAUGUCUGUGUACAAACGCACUUGAAGUUACCAGAUAAAAUUCCUCAUGACAGUUUAGAACUUUCUUGAUGAAUUUAUGCUAAGAUGUGUUACAUAUGCCACACUUAGGUUGCAUGUAUGCCCCACACGUCUCUCGCCAUACUAUUCCACCCCCCAGUGACCCAUGCAGAUAGAAGGAUGGUUUUGUUGGUGAUUAUCUGGAAACUUGCACUUCCUAUUGGCUUCCCUUGCUUACAGCGGUAGGAGACCGCCACCCAAGGGCUAAAGACACAAAACCGUCACUCCUAAAAAAUCGGCCUUUCCUUCUCCCAGUGCAGCUGUUCUUUCCUGGCUGCCAUCACUGGACUCUUGUUUUCUUUUAAAUACUCCCUGGAAGGCAGGACUUAUCAGGGUCUUCAAGAAGGGAAAAACCAACAGCUGCAAAAGUCACUGUGAAUGUUUGAUGGUGGGGGGAAGAAGUGGAGACAAAAACUGACUGGAGGUGAGGCUUUCCCGCCCCAUCACACACUGUCUCUGAGGUCACCAGCUGGAAUGCUGGCUUGCUAAGAUCAGGUUCUCAGAAGCUUUAAUUGUUUAACAUGGUGGCUAACGUUGGCGAGCACUUAGUAGGGGGCAGGUCCUGUUGUGAGCAGGGUUAGCUCAUUUUCUCCUCCUGUGACCACGUGAGGUCUGUACUGUUAUUGUCUCCAUUUUAAUGGAGGCACAGGGAGGUUAAAUCACGCGGCUCGUCAUUUUGAGCCAGCUCUCAGAGCCUGCAUGUUCACAGCUUUCCCAGGCCGCUUUAAAACAAAAGGUAUGUUGUAGGGGCCAUCAGUGAGCUAAGAUGCCACAUCUUUCUAGUGGUCUGGAAGUGGAGUAUUAAAAAUGUUAUUGUCGGGGCGUCUUUGUAUGUUAAUUUGUGGGUGCCACUUUUACGCACGGCCCCAUUAUCUUGUGGAAUUAAAACCCUCGUGUUAUGUUUCUUCAAGUAUGAAGAAAAUUACAUAGGUAUCAUCUAUAUGAUAUAUAUACUAUAUAUAGAUAUAUUUAUCUGUCCAUAGGAAAACCUUAGAUUGCGAGUGACUUGUUCUGCGAGCGUUCCACAAGACGACCAAACAUUUCUAAUAAAUUGUAACUUGAUCAAUGAGUGACGUCUUGCCGUACGAGUAGUACGUGAUGCCCGGUGUCCCAUGAUCCCAACAGAGCCGAUGGUUCUUGAAAUCCGCUCUGAUGGACGAGUGCUUCGGUUUACAAGCAUGUUUCUGGAACGAAUUAUGCCCGCAGCCGAGGUUUCACCGUAUGUAUUGUAUGCAUCUAGUACCCAGGAGAGACUUGCCUCUUCCAGCUGCCCCCUCCUGCAAUCUGUAGUGCUAUCAAAUUCAUAGUACCAGAGGCUUAACCACCGAGAGCUCCGAUAAGCAGACGUGUGUGGGCCUCUCUGUUUCUUCUCUAUGGAAAGAGUGUCAGGUUGGACCCUGCUAUUGUUACGGUCCAUUAUUUGAGGAAUGAAAUAAGAAGGGAAAUAAAGAGCAAGUUUAUAAUGGACUCGGUUCACAUGUGACAGGCAUGAGAGUCCAGCCACACCUGCAUUGUCCGGUGACCUUGAUUCUUGUGUCUCCUUGCCGUCCUUAUAAGAUACUAGAGAAACCGCAGGAAGCAUGAGGAAAAUCUAGCUGUUCUAUGAACUGAAGACUGGAUGUUUCCACAAGUUACCACAUGACUUACCUUCUGUAGCCACUUGAGCUCUUUCUUUUUCCUGUGAGCGUUUUCAAUGUUCUGUGGGGAUCAGAACGUGAAUUUGGGAGGCAGCGUGUCUGUGUCUUGCUGGGAAAAAGGCAAGGGGGCCGGCACACUGUUUAUAAACAUUCACAGCUCUUACCUUUCGUAAACAACAAACAAAAUAUUUUUGGACCACACUCCAUGAUUUCCCUGCCAAAAACGUUUGGAGGCAGCAAUGCUUUAUUUACUCACUGCCCCUGCUGUAGUACGGCUCACCACUCUCCAGGACAGGUGCCUGAAAGAUUCCUGGUGGCCAAACGCUUUCUCUCAGCAUUAGUCACCUUGAACUUCCCUGGUGGAGAUGGGACCGUCUAUUUAGGCCUCAAAACCCAGUGUAUGUCUUAUACACAGGACAUCUCAGUGUGGACUGGCCACGUUUCAUGUGCCCACUAGCCACAUGAGAUGGGUCGUAUGGGAUAGUGCAGCUCUACGCAGAGAUUAUCUCACUCUCCAGCCUGGUUUCCUUUGCUUCCCACGCUCCUCCCACUGCCCAGACGUGAAUGCCUCAGGAGUCUGGUCUUCCCUCAUCCGCACACUCUUUCUCCCCUUUGACCAUCUCAUCUGCUGCCGGCCCCCGGCACACAGCAUCGAGGAUGCUACCUCAGUGGGCCAGGGUGCUCCGUUGUUACCUCCAGUUCGGCUUGUCCAAAGUCAAAAGCUGGCUUCUCUCCUUUCGUCUGUUUUCCUGGCCUCUAAUGUUGCCUCUGAUUUUAUAAAGCAGUAAGAGAACAAUCAGGCCAUGUAAGCAGACUGAAUACUCAGAACCUGAGGGCUGAGGGCAUCGUGGAAAUUGAAUGGCACUUACAAGAAAGCCCAACAUACUGAAUGACGUGCAUAAUUCUUACGGGCAGCAAGGUGACGACGUAUAUAUAGCCAUUCGCGAACAUUAAGGUGGUGAUUGCUUUUAUUCAUGGGCAGAGCAAGCAUGUUGGGAGCAAAUGGGCAAGCGGGGGAGGGAGUGGCUCACGACCCUCUUUUUGGAACCUCCUUGCUGCCGGUGGAGUGGGGAGGGGAGUCGUGGUUGAUGCCCUGCUUUCGUCAGUCCACGUCCUGGGAGCUGGUCUCGCCAUUUUUGGUCACCCUUCGCAGUUUUAGUGCUUAGGGACUAGUGUUUUGCUUUUCAUCAGGCACUUCCGGGAUGAAAGAAAAUUAAGAGCCGAUCUGGGGUUCAUGAUAAGGUGAAAUUAAGUGCUGGCUUCACCUGCUGCACCCACUCAGGAGGCCGGGGCUGACUUGCUCACGGACCCUGACCUCUGAGAGCCCGGAAUAACCUUGUCACCGGAGCUGUAGCCUCAAAUGCUGAAUAGUGACAGGAGAGCUCGGGGUUCAUGUGGCCUUUUUAUUACUCUGUAUUUUAAAAGUAGGUAUUUCCCUGAGUUAUCUUUCAGUCAAAACUAUUCAAGGGUGCUAUUGUCAUUUUGAGCAUGAUUUGUAAAAUUUGAAGGGAAAUCUUAGUUUCUCUACAAGCUUGUGUAGUAGAGAACAUCUAAUUCAUACCAUUUUUUAAAAAAGUUUAUUUUUGAGAAAGUGUGCAUGCUCAUGGGGAAGGGGGGGGGAGAGAGAGAGAGAGAGAGAGAGAGAGAGAGAGAAUCCCAAGCAGGCUCCACACUUCCAGUGCAGAGCCCGAUGUGGGGCUUGAACCCAUGAACCGCGAGAUCAUGACCUGAGCCAAAACCAAGAGUUAGAUGCCCAACCGGGUAAGCCACCCAGGUGCCCCUAUAGCAGUGUAAUAGUGAGCUCUAGGCCUGUUUGAAUACUGUUUACAGUGGCAUUUCCACCCCCUCCUCAUGUAACUAUUUU